GUUUGCAGUCAAAUUUCUUUACGCGGAAGAGAGCAUGAUGCUCGUGAUUUUGCACAUCCCAUGUAAUGUAACUGGUAACAAUGACUAGCACGCGGUAAAUUGUUGCGUGAGUGGGUCGCUUGAGCGUGCUGGCAGCAUAUGGCAGCAGUUCGAUUGUGCGUCAAGAAUUCAGCAUAGCACGUUUUUGUGAAUGUCUGGUUAUUAAAUGGGUAAAUAGUUUAAUCCAUUUCAUGAAUUUAUUCACAGGUAACGCUCUCGUGACAAACACACUUUGUUGCCUUGUUUCCAAUCGUCCACAUGUCUGGGAGAACCUAUUAAUAUACAGAGAGCUGUGAAAGCCUGUCUGCAGAUGAAGAGGUCCCAAUGAAGAGCAGUGGUUCUCAGUCCUGGUCCUGGGGACUGGACCGGUUUUUGCCUUAGCUCUGAUUCAAAUGAUCAAGUCAUCAUCAAGCUUCAAGUGAUAAAUUGUAACUGGAGAUUCCUUCAAAAUGAUGAUGCCUACAGUUCCCGUGUAGGGCACUGCAAGGUUGGGUGACCAGAGCCAUCUGGGACUGCCUCCUGGAGGAAUUCAGGCGUUUGAAGGCUACCUGUGUCGUGCAUAACUUCAUGAGGAUGGACACGAGGACCAGGAGGGGGAUCUGCAGCUCGCCACCGUGUGCCAGAGGAGAGGUCUGCUGCUCUACAGUAUGUUUUGAUGUGAGAGAGGAUGCCACUCCCAGUCCCGUCAUCACCCGCUCUUAAGAUAACCUUAAGGACAACUGGGGACCCAAAGCUGGUUAGGAGACACCACUAGAGACACUUAUGUACUUGUGAUGAACUGAGACAAUACUAGGGUAGCACUGUAAUUCAUUAAACAUAUGCUGUCUUCCCUGCUCCUCUAUUCUUACUUCUUUUCCCUUGUGUAUUUUACACUCUUUCUCACACCUCUCUACCCACCUCUUUCUUCCUCUGUUUUUAUCAUGAACACCAGAUGUGCAUUGAAGUACAGAUUGAACUUGUAUUUAUAAUAUGAUAUUACAAUGAUAAUAUUUAUAAUGGAUAUAUUAUGUUUUUAUAACACUUGGAUAAUGAACUUCUUUCAAUGAAGUGUUUGACAUUCUCUACUGGUUGAAAUGAAGUCUCAGUUGAGGAAAUACUACACCUAUCCUGUGUCCUCAGAUCAAUGCAGAUAAAGGGAGUUAGACAUUGAGAUGAACCGGUAUUAGUGCAUUUACAAUUGAAGUCGGAAGUUUACAUACACCUUAGCCAAAUACAUUUAAACUCAGUUUUUCACAAUUCCUGACAUUUAAUCCUGGAAAAAAAUUCUGUCUUAGGUCAGUUAG